GUGUCCUAUAUCUGUCGACCAAAAGCCAAGAGCUUCACAAAAUGGAAAGGGUAUCGAGCUAGCCAAAAGCACAAUAAAUGGUAAGUGUACAAAAUAAUGGCAGUUUACAAUUAUGUGUAGAAGUAGAGGGUCACCUCAGUGAAACGCUGCAGGCCACAAACCCCAAGAAGACGGAUAAGAUUCAUAGCGAAGCCAAUGCCCUCAC
rnacentral:lncRNA from 1 species